AAGGAUUUUUUUUCCUGUCUCUUUACGAGACAACUUGCAAUAGCCCUUCUUUUCUAAAAGGCCAGUGUCCUGGUAUUGGCUUCAGUGUACAUAGGGCAGAGAGCCAAUUGAUGGCUCUGUAACAGCUGGAGAAGAGGCUUUAAAAGAAAACCACAGUCAGUUCUGGCUCCUCUUAUCCUAAGAAUGCAGGUAUGAAAAUGGAGUACCUUUAAAGUAAUUCAAAAACCAGCUUCUUCAGACAAUAAUGCAAUUAUCAACCACCACCAGAGAAAUUAUGUCCUUUCAUUUGCAUCUGCUGGCAAGCCCAGGAGUAUCCUGAACAUGAAGAGCAUCUCUCUCCUGAGGGGAUGAAGAAGCAUUCAAGUGGAAGGUAAGGACUUCUAAGUGUGAGUAUUGGAGGGACACUGCCCAAAGGAGGUUUGCAAGUAGCCACAGUCCAUCCCCAGGGGUGGGAUGUUCCUGGGACGGCCAGAAGAGUUUCCUUUUGAGGAAUUUGGACAAUUCAUUAGUCUCAGGAUUUAGGUCUUACAAAAUGUUCUUCUCCAUUAAAAGAGUCUUUGUUCCAUAGAAAAAGUUUUUCAUCAUUUCUCCAGCUUCUUGUGCUUGGCUUCCAGCCUUUUUUGAAUGUGCAUCCAACUUACGAGCUGCCUGCUCAGGAGCGGCCACCUCCUCUGUGACCUUGAUCUGAGCCCGGUAAGGCUGCAGUCUGCCAUGUUUUUGCCUUAAAUUCCUUCAAGUUUCUACUUGCUUACAGCAAUGUCUUUCAUUUCAGGAUGCUUCAAGCUGGUGAGUUUAUUCAUAUUUUCGAGGACCUUCUCAUUUUCCCUGGUGGCCGUCAGUUACCCUGUCAGCUGUCUCCACCACCACGUCCUCUCGAGUGGGCACCUCAUGUUGGGUUGCCAGCACACCCUCCACCACAGCUGCCAUGCAGUGUGCUGCCACCAUGUUCAGUACCCACCGGGUCAAGCAUGAAGAGGUCCACUCCCUGCCCAGUGGACAGAGCCACCAGGGUUGCACUGCCAUACAGUGCAUAACCUGCGGCCACGAUAUUGCGGCCAGGCUGCAGGGCGUCCUUCUCAGAAGGCUCGUCCUCUGUGGUCUGCAGAGAGAGAAGUGUGCUGUCUUGUUGUUGUUUCUGCAAAGAACCCUUUGCCCGGGCCUGAGCUUCAGGUUUCCUUGACCCACCAAAGGGAUCGAAGUUCUGUGAAUUUCCUGCUGCAGGGAAUGUGUCCAGAGGAAGCAUCCUGCCAAGAAAAACCCUCCAGGAGGCUAUAACCUCAGCCCUUCCUCAUCUUUCCAGGCCACGCUCCUGAGCCGUUUAAUUACAACUUAGACCACCGAGCUCUGAGCCAGUCCUCAUCCCACAUACUCAGCAGCCCUCUGAGGUGACAGCAUUAUCACCUCCAUGGCACAGACAGGGAACAAGUAGUUGGAUAGCUCAGCUGGCCUCAGAAAGCCUCAGAGCUGGACUCACACCCAGGCAGCGUGGCCAGAGCUCCUACUGUUCCACAUGUUGCCCUUCAAGGCUUGUCCCUGCUGGGCCCUCCUGGGGACCCCUGUGUACAAUUCAGAGCACGUUCUCAAGGAAGACUUUCCCUUUGCCAUGUGGCACUAACAGCGCUGAUGGGAGUGGACUUCAGACAGACAAGGUGGAAGAAGGAACAGCAGAUGCUCUCCAUAGUGGGACAGAGCAGCAGGUGACACUUGACUUUGUAACUCAUUUUUCCUGAUGACCCUGAAAGCUUCCUUCUCCUCACCUCCCAGCUCUCUAAAAAGGCAAGCGAAUAAAAUCUCAGGAAUUUUGGAAUAUAGAUAGCAAAUGUCCAGCCUCCUUUUAGAGAAAAUAGUUGUUCAUUACUUUUCAGUAUUAAUCAUUAUGCAUAGAUGUUAUUCCUACUGAUUCAAGGGCUAAUUUUAAGAGUGCUGGCAGAAGAGAAGAUUGAUAAACCCAGACAACUGAUCAAAAAUUCAGUCAAACCCAAAAUCUCUCAUUUCAUAGGCAAUAUAAUAUAGUUAUACUAAAAACAUCUCAGAGAGCAUCAAGCUUAGAUAAGUGUGAUUUUAAGUUAUUGCUGUUGGAAUAAGGAAUAAAUAAAAACAUGUUCCCACAAACAUAGACAAGAUUGUUCAUAGCAGCAUUAUUUGUAAUACCCCAAAAGUGGAAAUGACUCAAAUCUAUAAGAACUCAUAAGUGGGGCAGCGCCCAUAGCUCAGUGGCUAGGGCGCCGGCCACGUACACCGAGGCUGGCAGGUUUGAAUCUGGCCCGGGCCAGCUAAAACAACAAUGACAACUGCAACCAAAAAAUAGCCGGGCAUUGUGGUGGGCACCUGUAGUCCCAGCUACUUGGGAGGCUGAGGCAAGAAAAUCGCUUAAGCCCAAAGAGUUUGAAGUUGCUGUGAGCAGUGAUACCACCACACUCUACCCAGGGCAACAGCUUGAGACUCUGUCUCAAAAAAAAAAAUAAAAAAAGAAAGAAAAAGAACUAAUUAAUGGAUAAACAAAAUGUUGUAUGUCCAUGCAAUGGAACAUUAUCAUAUUUGGAAAUAAAAAGAAAUGAUAUUUAAUACAUGCUACAACACAGAUGAGCCUUGAAAAUAUGUUCAGGGGAAGAAGUCAUACACAAAAGGUGACAUACGGUCUGAUUCUGUUUUUAUCAAAUAUCCAGGAUGGACAAAUCUGUAGAGACUGACAGUAGAUUAGUGGUAACAUAGGUCUGAGGACAAUGCAAAUAAGGAAGGGUGGAGGCUCAUUGGAAUAGGGUUUCUAUUUAGAGUGAUGAAAAAUUCCAAAAUUGAUUGUGGUGAUAGAUUCACAACACUGUGAAUAAGUGAAAUCUAUUGAAUUUUACACUUUCAAUGGGUGGAUUGUGUAGUAAGUGAAUUAUGUCUCAACAAACACAUAACUGUAUAACUGUAGUAACUUUGUUAUAACUGUAGUAACUUUGUUAAUAAUUGCAAAAUUAGAAGCCAUUACCUACUGUCCUUCAGUGGGUAAGUAAAUUGUGAUGCAUGCAGACGAUGGAAUUUUAUUCACCACUAAAAAGAAAUGAGCCACCAAAUCAUGAAAAAAGAUGAAGGAAACUUACAUGCAUACCAACUGAAAGAAGCCACUCGGUAAAGGCUACAAACUGUGUGAUUUCAACUAUGUAACCUUCUGGAAAAGGCGAGACUAUGCAGACAGCAAAAGUAUCAGUGACCGACAUGGGUUGUGGGGAGGGUGGAUGAACAGGAAGAGCACAGAGGAAUGUUAGGGCAGUGACACUAUUCUGCGUGACACUGUAAUGGUGGAUAUGUGUCAUGAUGCAUUUGUCUAAUCCCACAGAAUGUACAACACCGAGAGGGAACUUUAAUGUAAACUGUGGACUUCAGGUGACAAUGAGUCAGUGUAGGGUCAUCAGUUGCAACACAGGCACCACUCUGACUUGGGGUGUGGAUAUGGAUGGGGAGUAUGUAGGAAAUCUCUGUAGUUUCCACUUUUGCUGUGAACCUAAAACUGCUGUAAAAAUAAACUCUAUUAAAAAUAAGAUGAAAAACAGGAGGAGGAGGAGGAGGUUGUUAGUAUCUCACAAGGUUCAAUGUGAGUUGGCACCAACUUCCUGAAGUG